UACGGAGGGUGCAAGCGUUAUCCGGAUUCACUGGGUUUAAAGGGUCCGUAGGCGGGCCUGUAAGUCAGUGGUGAAAUCUUUCGGCUCAACCGGAAAAUUGCCAUUGAUACUGCAGGCCUUGAAUUAUUGGGAAGUAACUAGAAUAUGUAGUGUAGCGGUGAAAUGCUUAGAUAUUACAUGGAAUACCGAUUGCGAAGGCAGGUUACUAUCAAUAUAUUGACGCUGAUGGACGAAAGCGUGGGGAGCGAACAGG
rnacentral:rRNA from 1 species